UUUUUUUUUUUUUUUUUUUUUUUAAUCAAUAUGUUCAUUUGGGUUUGCUUACUUGACCCUGUGGAGACCCCACACACCACCCCCCACAGCAAUUGGGCAUCCUAAGUGAAUUUGGCCUUGAUUGGGCUCUGCCAAAGACUAAAAUGUGAAACAGCCUCUCACCCUGUACCCUUGUCUUUCCAUUAGAACACCCUUUAAAUUAUAAGCAUCCUUUUUAAAAAGAGCUAUGAAGAUGAUGAGCUCAUCCUUUUAUUCACUGACUCUAAGAGUCAAAUUUUCUAGUGCAUCUCCUAUUGCCAUCAUAAGGAUGAGAACGGGAAAAGGGUGUUACUUCUGUGUACAGCAGAGACAUUAAACUUGCUGUAUCUAGGCUGCAUCAUCAUCCUGGAUUGUUUCUGUUGUUCUCAUGUUCACAUUUUGUCCUGCGACUUUGAAGCUACUAUCUUUUUUUAAGUGUGCUAUAUAAACACCAAAUUUGGGUACCAUUUUAUCACUGUUCAAAGCACUAUGAAAUUCCUUUCAUCCUCCCGUGACUCUGAGAUUCUUAAAUCUUUGGUCUGAUUUUUGGUGGACACAGAUAGAACCAUGGACAUUUCUUCAGAACCACAGAUGUUCUACAAAAAGUCCUUUUCUGUGUGUCUUCUGUCACCCUAACUGCGGAGUUACUUUGAUUGGUUGUUUUGGUUUUUGUUUUAAUAUCUGGCUGGCACUUUACUCAUUGCACUUGAGUUUACUGCCCCAUAACUAAAGAAUUCAGGAUGACUUUAGAAAGGAGAUCUGGGUUUGAGAUUUCCCAUCUAAGAAGAAAAUGUCCUAGAAUUCCUGGUUCUUUUCCAGUCAGUCCCCUACUUCUAUUUACAGCAUUUUCUUUACCUUGUCCAAAAUUUAACCAUGAAGCAGUUUUCCUCUGUGGCUUUGCCAUUCUCAUUUUCUCAGAGGCUUCAGGUCUUGAAUGAAAUCCCAACAUAAAAGAACCAAGGCCAAGUAGGAGGGGGGGAUGGCACUUUUUGGGGUUUGGGGGUUGGGUUUUUUUGUUUAUUGGGGUUUUUGUUUGUUUUUUGGUUUAAGAUUAGCCACUCUCUGCUGCUAUUUCUUUGUAUAAUGUAAGUUUUUAACUGCAAUUUUGAGAUAAUUAAGAUGUACUUGAGGCUUUUUUCUUUACCUUUUUUUUUUUUUUUAAACGAGAAAAGGCUUUGCGAAUCUUAUUUUAGGAUGGGCCUCUUCUAGACUUGUCCUAGACAUUACCUAUUCCUCGGGUCAUAUUGGAAAGCAAGAGAAGGGCAGGUUUGGGGUCCCAGCCACUUGUUCAGCACAGACCAGGUGGGCCUUGGGGAUUGCAGCAUUCUGCGGAGGCGGCUCCAGGACUGAUUGACCGAAAGCCAAGGAGGUGCAAGUUGAGGCUCUACUAGCAGAGCUGCCUAUGAGACUUUCAGGUAGCUGACUCUCUACAUGGGAGAUUGGAGGCCAGAUUCUGCCAUUUUCCCCACCAACAACAGCAAAGGAAAAAGUGGUGCAAUUAUGCAAUCCAUUUAACUCAUAAACCUAGAACCCUAAGUAACUAUGGCCAGCCAUUCAUCGGAUCCUUGAUUGGGUAGUCCUGAAAUCAGACAUGUUCCUGUAGAAAGAAUUUUAAGUGAGGCUGUCUAUGCACCUAUCAAGAAUAA
rnacentral:lncRNA from 1 species